rnacentral:rRNA from 1 species
UGGGGAAUAUUGGACAAUGGGGGCAACCCUGAUCCAGCAAUGCCGCGUGUGUGAAGAAGGUCUUCGGAUUGUAAAGCACUUUCGACGGGGACGAUGAUGACGGUACCCGUAGAAGAAGCCCCGGCUAACUUCGUGCCAGCAGCCGCGGUAAUACGAAGGGGGCUAGCGUUGCUCGGAAUGACUGGGCGUAAAGGGCGUGUAGGCGGUUUACACAGUCAGAUGUGAAAUCCCCGGGCUUAACCUGGGAGCUGCAUUUGAUACGUGUAGACUAGAGUGUGAGAGAGGGUUGUGGAAUUCCCAGUGUAGAGGUGAAAUUCGUAGAUAUUGGGAAGAACACCGGUGGCGAAGGCGGCAACCUGGCUCAUGACUGACGCUGAGGCGCGAAAGCGUGGGGAGCAAACAGGAUUAGAUACCCUGG